AACGCAAGAACUUACCUACUCUUGACAUCCAGAGAACUUGGCAGAGAUGCCUUGGUGCCUUCGGGAACUCUGAGACAGGUGCUGCAUGGCUGUCGUCAGCUCGUGUUGUGAAAUGUUGGGUUAAGUCCCGCAACGAGCGCAACCCUUAUCCUUUGUUGCCAGCGAUUCGGUCGGGAACUCAAAGGAGACUGCCAGUGAUAAACUGGAGGAAGGUGGGGAUGACGUCAAGUCAUCAUGGCCCUUACGAGUAGGGCUACACACGUGCUACAAUGGCGUAUACAAAGAGAAGCGACCUCGCGAGAGCAAGCGGAACUCAUAAAGUACGUCGUAGUCCGGAUUGGAGUCUGCAACUCGACUCCAUGAAGUCGGAAUCGCUAGUAAUCGUAGAUCAGAAUGCUACGGUGAAUACGUUCCCGGGUCUUGUACACACCG
rnacentral:rRNA from 1 species